UUCCGGUUGAUCCCGCCGGAGGCUACCGCUAUUGGAGUUCGAUUAAGCCAUGCGAGUCGCGAGUCUUAGGGACUCGGCGUACCGCUCAGUAACACGUGGGUAACCUGCCCUAUGCUGGGGGAUAACCUCGGGAAACUGAGAAUAAUACCCCAUAGUUCACCACGCCUGGAACGGUGGGUGGACCAAAGCUCCGGCGGCAUAGGAUGGGCCUGCGGCGUAUCAGGUUGUAGGGGGUGUAAUGUACCCUCUAGCCCUCUACGCGUACGGGUGUUGAGAGACAUCGCCCGGAGAUGGAUUCUGAGACACGAAUCCAGACCCUACGGGGCGCAGCAGGCGAGAAAACUUUGCAAUGUGCGAAAGCACGACAAGGUUAAUCCGAGUGAUUUCUGCUAAAGGAAUCUUUUGUUAGUUCUAAAAAUACUAGUGAAUAAGGGGUGGGCAAGUUCUGGUGUCAGCCGCCGCGGUAAAACCAGCACCUCAAGUGGUCAGGAGGAUUAUUGGGCCUAAAGCAUCCGUAGCCUGUUCUAUAAGUUUGCGGUUAAAUCUAUACGCUCAACGUAUAGGCUGCCGUAAAUACUGUAGAACUAGGGAGUGGGAGAGGUAGACGGUACUCGAUAGGAAGGGGUAAAAUCCUUUGAUCUAUUGAUGACCACCUGUGGCGAAGGCGGUCUACCAGAACACGUUCGACGGUGAGGGAUGAAAGCUGGGGGAGCAAACCGGAUUAGAUACCCGGGUAGUCCCAGCUGUAAACGAUGCAGACUCGAUGAUGCAAUGGCAUAGAGCUAUUGCAGUAUCGCAGGGAAGCCGUUAAGUCUGCCGCCUGGGAAGUACGUACGCAAGUAUGAAACUUAAAGGAAUUGGCGGGGGAGCACCACAAGGGGUGAAGCCUGCGGUUCAAUUGGAGUCAACGCCGGG
rnacentral:rRNA from 1 species